CAUGCUAUCAUAUGUGGGAAAAAAAAUCGGUGAAAGAUAUGAAGAGACUCUCAAUGUGCAUUAACACUCCUAGAUCGUUCAUUUGAUGAGCAAUGUCCAAAUUCAAGACCUAAAAUAAGGAGCAUCAUCUACGAGUAGAAUAAACGACUCGGUACUGAGGUAUAAUAUCUAUACAUUCUUCUUAACAAAAACCAGCUUCUACUGGAUUAGGACAUACACUACUAAGAAUUCUAUUGUACAGGAUCUAAAUUUGUGUGGGAUACUUGAAGAAAUAGCGAGGCGUGGAAUGUCAUUCGAUGAAUUACUCACCAUCCCUGAACAGGAUGAAUGGGUUUAUAGUGACGGGAAAUCAACAGCAUGUGUUGCUUUCAUCCUUGCAAUGUACAAAGCCGCUGGUGUAUUCGGCCCUCUCGCUAAUCACAUUCAAGUCAC